CCAGUAGUCAUAUGCUUGUCUCAAAGAUUAAGCCAUGCAUGUCUAAGUUCACACCCUCGUACGGUGAAACCGCGAAUGGCUCAUUAAAUCAGUCGAGGUUCCUUAGAUGAUCCAUUUCUACUUGGAUAACUGUGGCAAUUCUAGAGCUAAUACAUGCAACCAAGCUCCGACCCGGUGUCAAAGCCGGGAAAGAGCGCUUUUAUUAGUUCAAAACCAGUCGGGGUCUCGGCCCCGUCCCUUUUGGUGACUCUGGAUAACUUUGUGCCGAUCGCAUGGCCUCGAGCCGGCGACGCAUCUUUCAAAUGUCUGCCCUAUCAAAUGUCGAUGGUACGUGAUAGGCCUACCAUGUUGACUACGGGUAACGGGGAAUCAGGGUUCGAUUCCGGAGAGGGAGCAUGAGAAAGGGCUACCACAUCCAAGGAAGGCAGAGGCGCGCA
rnacentral:rRNA from 1 species